rnacentral:rRNA from 1 species
UACAGAGGUCCCAAGCGUUGUUCGGAUUCACUGGGCGUAAAGGGUGCGUAGGUGGUGAGGUAAGUCGGAUGUGAAAUCUCCAAGCUCAACUUGGAAAUGGCAUUGGAAACUACCUUGCUGGAGGUUUGGAGGGGGGACUGGAAUACUUGGUGUAGCAGUGAAAUGCGUAGAUAUCAGGAGGAAUACCGAUGGCGAAGGCAGGUCUCUGGGCUGACACUGACGCUCAUGCACGAAAGCGUGGGGAGCAAACAGG